GUUUCAAUAGAAAUUGGCACUUUUAUAAAUGAACCUCAUUACACACCCUGUCUAUCACGCAUCUAGUUACUUCCUAGUUGUUUAGCUCAGUGGAGCUGGAUUUGACACAGGCAAUUGCCCAGAGCACCUGUCUUGCAGAGACUUCUCAUUGAGCCACAUUGGAAAGUCUGUGAUUGGACAGCCACAGAAAGUCUGUUUGUGCUGGAGAAAAAAAAUGGUAAACUUGCAAAGGCUGCAGACAAGAUCCGCAGCUUUAACAGGCUAUUUUAGAUAUACCCAAAUGAAAGAAAUGCAUAAUUAGUUGCAUGCAUGUUUUCUGUGGGGGUGUAUCUACUAAAUAGUGAUUUUUU